UUUCCGUAGGUGAACCUGCGGAAGGAUCAUUAAAAAUGAAGCCGGGAAACCGGUCCUUCUAACCCUUGAUUAUCUUAAUUUGUUGCUUUGGUGGGCCGCGCAAGCACCGGCUUCGGCUGGAUCGUGCCCGCCAGAGGACACAACUCUGUAUCAAAUGUCGACUGAGUACUAUAAAAUAGUUAAAACUUUCAACAACGGAUCUCUUGGUUCUG
rnacentral:misc_RNA from 1 species